GUUGGGCUCUGUGGCAUAUACCUGUAAUUUCAGCUAUUAGAGAGGCUGAGGCAGGAGGAUUGCUUGAGCCCAGGAGUUUGAGAUUAGUCUGGGCAACAAAGCAAGACUCUGUCCUCU
rnacentral:sRNA from 1 species